rnacentral:rRNA from 1 species
GGACGAACGCUGGCGGCGUGCUUAACACAUGCAAGUCGAACGGAACACCCUUGACAGAGGUUCGGCCAAUGAAGAGGAAUGUUUAGUGGCGGACUGGUGAGUAACGCGUGAGGAACCCGCCUUUCAGAGGGGGACAACAGUUGGAAACGACUGCUAAUACCGCAUGAAGCAACGAGGGGACAUCCCCUUGCUGUCAAAGAUUUAUCGCUGAAAGAUGGCCUCGCGUCUGAUUAGCUAGUUGGUGGGGUAACGGCCCACCAAGGCGACGAUCAGUAGCCGGACUGAGAGGUUGACCGGCCACAUUGGGACUGAGAUACGGCCCAGACUCCUACGGGAGGCAGCAGUGGGGAAUAUUGGGCAAUGGACGCAAGUCCUGACCCAGCAACGCCGCGUGAAGGAAGAAGGCUUUCGGGUUGUAAACUUCUUUUAACAGGGAAGAGAAGAAGACGGUACCUGUUGAAUAAGCCACGGCUAACUACGUGCCAGCAGCAGC